AGGCGAGUGAUCCAACUCUCUCUUGGGGGUGCUGGGGAUUGGGGGUUAGGCGAGUGGGUUCUCAACGCAUCUUUGUUUCUGCCUUUUAAAGAAUUGCAAAGUCUUGAUUUGAAGGCUAAUGAAUUAGUUGGGUGCCUUUGAGCAUCAAGGUUUCGGAGUGUUGAAGCCUUGUACGUAUUAAUUUUCGUAAGUUCUCCAACUUCAGAAGAUCUUAGCAUGGGAGUACUGAAUUUGUUGUUGUUGCUGGUGGGGGAAUAAGUGGUUUGCUUCUUGCAUUCUGGGCCCAAAAUUGUGUUAGUUCGAAACUUGUCGGCAAUUUUCUUGAAUGUGUCCAGCUAAUGGGUGCUUUAAGUGUUGACCUCAUAGCUUAGCCUUAUUGUUGAUCGUUUCAAUAGAGAAGUGUUGUAACUAUAUUUAUCUGUGGAAUCCUAAGUCUGUCUUGUUUAA